ACUACACAUGCAGUCGAGCGGUAGCACAGAGAGCUUGCUCUCGGGUGACGAGCGGCGGACGGGUGAGUAAUGUCUGGGAAACUGCCUGAUGGAGGGGGAUAACUACUGGAAACGGUAGCUAAUACCGCAUAACGUCGCAAGACCAAAGUGGGGGACCUUCGGGCCUCAUGCCAUCAGAUGUGCCCAGAUGGGAUUAGCUGGUAGGUGGGGUAACGGCUCACCUAGGCGACGAUCCCUAGCUGGUCUGAGAGGAUGACCAGCCACACUGGAACUGAGACACGGUCCAGACUCCUACGGGAGGCAGCAGUGGGGAAUAUUGCACAAUGGGCGCAAGCCUGAUGCAGCCAUGCCGCGUGUGUGAAGAAGGCCUUCGGGUUGUAAAGCACUUUCAGCGGGGAGGAAGGCGGUGAGGUUAAUAACCUCAUCGAUUGACGUUACCCGCAGAAGAAGCACCGGCUAACUCCGUGCCAGCAGCCGCGGUAAUACGGAGGGUGCAAGCGUUAAUCGGAAUUACUGGGCGUAAAGCGCACGCAGGCGGUCUGUCAAGUCGGAUGUGAAAUCCCCGGGCUCAACCUGGGAACUGCAUUCGAAACUGGCAGGCUAGAGUCUUGUAGAGGGGGGUAGAAUUCCAGGUGUAGCGGUGAAAUGCGUAUAGAUCUGGAGGAAUACCGGUGGCGAAGGCGGCCCCCUGGACAAAGACUGACGCUCUGGUGCGAAAGCGUGGGGAGCAAACACGAUUAGAUACCCUGGGAGUCUACGCUGUAAACUAUGUCGACUUGGUGGUUGUGCCCUUGCUGCGUGACUUCCGGAGCUAACGCGUUAAAUCUACC
rnacentral:rRNA from 1 species